GACGAACGCUGGCGGCGUGCCUAACACAUGCAAGUCGAACGAGGUCCAAGGGAGCUUGCUCCCUGAAGACCUAGUGGCGAACGGGUGAGUAACACGUGAGAAACCUGCCCUCGAGUGGGGAAUAACCCGGGGAAACCCGGGCUAAUACCGCAUACGCUCCUCUGGUCGCGUGGCCGGAGGAGAAAAGUUUUUCGCUCAAGGAGGGUCUCGCGGCCUAUCAGCUUGUUGGCGGGGUAACGGCCCACCAAGGCUACGACGGGUAGCUGGUUUGGGAGAACGAUCAGCCACACUGGGACUGAGACACGGCCCAGACUCCUACGGGAGGCAGCAGUGGGGAAUCUUGCGCAAUGGGCGAAAGCCUGACGCAGCAACGCCGCGUGCGGGAUGACGGCCUUCGUGGUUGUAAACCGCUUUCAGCAGGGACGAAAAUGACGGUACCUGCAGAAGAAGCUCCGGCUAACUACGUGCCAGCCGCCGCGGUAA
rnacentral:rRNA from 1 species